rnacentral:rRNA from 1 species
CAGUAGCCGCGGUAAUACAGAGGGUGCAAGCGUUACUCGGAAUUACUGGGCGUAAAGCGUGCGUAGGUGGUGGUUUAAGUCCGUUGUGAAAGCCCUGGGCUCAACCUGGGAAUUGCAGUGGAUACUGGGUCACUAGAGUGUGGUAGAGGAUAGUGGAAUUUCCGGUGUAGCAGUGAAAUGCGUAGAGAUCGGAAGGAACAUCUGUGGCGAAGGCGACUAUCUGGGCCAACACUGACACUGAGGCACGAAAGCGUGGGGAGCAAACAGGAUUAGAUACCCCGGUAGUCCCUGUCUCUUAUAC